GUUUCUUUAAGACAUAAAUUGCUGAUAGUGAUGGCAGAGAAUCUGUUGGCCGCUUUUUAUCAAAACAACAAUGCAGGCCAUUACAAGAACAGAGAAACUUUGAUUUUCUUGAUUUGAGUCCUAAAACCUUUUUAAAUCUGAGGUUACCAGCAGGGUUGAGUUACCUUCUUAAAGAAGGCAGAGCCCAUCAUGCCAAGCCAAUUAGUGACACACACUCUCCAAGGGUGCGGUAGCCAGUGUUUCCCCUUUCUUUCUAAAAUACAAAAAGUUUUAGUUCAUGUAAAGGUCCCAGAUAAAAUUCUUGACUCUCUUUUAGAUCGAUUCAAUCAAGAUUCAAGUACAGAGCUCCUUCUUGUUUUCUUUGCAGUAAUUUGUUGAGCUGUGCUGUGCUGCUUGGCAAGCUACUUAACCUUUCUGAACCUGAAUUUAGAAAACUCCAAAAUAUUUGACACAUUUCUUCCGAGGCGCCAGUGGAAUUAGUGAAUGAUUCAGCAAAUGUGUUUUAUGAUUCCUGGAAAAAAAGCCAGUCUAUAUAGCCUUCAUUUAAUGAAGCAAAGUCUGGAAAAGCUAAGCCUUGAACAUGCUAUACUGCAUUGACAGAUGGUAAGCAAACAGCCUGGGAGGAGGAGAAGUGACCCAACUUGUUUCUGCAGUGUUAGAAAAGGUAUCAAAGCAAGAGGCGGACACUCCCAGUGCCAAAGGCUUUGUUUUCUUUCUCACUCAUCUCAU